rnacentral:rRNA from 1 species
UACGGGGGGUGCGAGCGUUGUCCGGAAUCACUGGGCGUAAAGGGCGCGUAGGCGGCUUGGGAAGUCCGUGGUGAAAGCUCGUGGCUCAACUGCGAGUCGGCCAAGGAUACUCCUAAGCUCGAGUCGACUAGAGGCAGAUGGAAUUCCGGGUGUAGCGGUGGAAUGCGUAGAGAUCCGGAAGAACACCGGUGGCGAAGGCGGUCUGCUGGGGUCGAACUGACGCUGAGGCGCGACAGCGUGGGGAGCAAACAGG